GUGAUAACGCGAGUUAGUAGUGCUGGUUUUGUCUAUUGUUGUGUUUAUUGGGUUAAGGUGGCAUUUUGAAAAUGGUGGUAUCAAGAUCUUUGAGAUUUAAAAGAAACGGAUGUCAAGAAUCAACCAGAUAGUUCACUUGAUGGCAAGUGAUCAGAAGCAUUCCGGAAGACUAGACCAGAGAAAAUUGAGAAGUUAUAAACUUACCAAAAUUAUUAUAAAACCAUAACAUUCAUAGUAGCUCCAGGGAAAUUGAUGAAUACGCAAAAAAAAAUUGAAUAAUAAGGAAGUUUUGCUAGACCCCUAUGUUUCAGAUAUUACUUGGCAAGUCAAAGCGAAGCCUUUCUCACUGGACCGAAUAUUUGAUGAGCGAUCGAGAGAGAAAGGUAUUUAGUACAAGACGAUGCAGCCAUGUAGCUUGAGGUCAGUGACUGUCGCAAAACGCGGCGUCCACGAUGGAUAAUGGCGAAACAUAUAAACUGGUUUACGUUUUAUAAACCAGAACGUGAUAAAGUUAAAAAAUUAUAACCAGACUAACUAACUAUUGCCUAUAAAAACAAACUGGUGGGUACAACGAUUCUUAAUUUGUAGCAAUUUCGCUAAAUUUAAUUCGU